CCUUCAAACAUGGGACACGCAGCCUGGCCUAGACACCGGCCCUCAGGUAGGAUGAGGGGCAGGAAACAGCCGUGACUGUUCAACUCCGCCCCGGCCCGUGGGAGCCACGCUCAUGUGCUGUGAGAACUUCACAGACCCCAGGUGACUGGAUGGGGGCCUGGUGAGGGGCACUCCUGGCUACCCAGGUGGAGGGACUGCCCAGGACCCCGGGUGACUGGACGGGGGCCAGGUGCUCACCUCGUGGUUGGCGUGGAUCUGGCGGAGAUACUGCACACGCAGAUCAGGGGCACUGGAGCCCUGGGCGGCCUGCUCUGUCACCAUCGUCUGGGGGGACACGGGACAUACUGGAGAGGACAUGCCCUAGCACCUGCCCCCACUUUCCUUGGAGCAGGGUGACUCUCUCCCUCUGCCCAGCUCUGCCUCCCGGCCUCGCCCCCCAACCGGCACUUUGCUGUUUUCCACCCUGCUGUUCACCUCGACUUCCCGCCCUCCAGAGUGGCAGGGCAGAGCCCCUGGCCUGACAGUUUCUUGGAAAUGAAUUUGUUUGGUUCUUUCCGCUCCA